rnacentral:misc_RNA from 1 species
GUUCCGUGUUAUCUUUUUGCUCUCCAGUAUCUUCUUCUGCUAUGGCUGAUUCUGCCAUUCUGCGGAUGAUUUCAGCAAGUUGAGAUUCUAUCUUCUGUAGUUCAUUACUGAAGCAUUGUGUCAAUGCCAACCUAUCGGAUCCGAUUUGCUUAUCCAUCUGAAUGAUGAACUCAUCAACUUGGUCGUCCAUGUCAUGAACCAAAUCUUGAAGUUGGU